rnacentral:misc_RNA from 1 species
GAACGCAUAUUGCGCUCUUUGGUAUUCCGAAGAGCAUGCUUGUUUGAGUAUCAGUAAACACCUCAAAACUCUUGAUCUUUUUCAAGCGUUUUGGACUUGAGCAAACCCAACGCCUUUUCUUUUAAGAUCUGUUGCGGCGGGUUGCUUUGAAUGCAGGUGCAGCUGGACAAUCUCCUGAGCUAAAAGCAUAUUUAUUUAGUCCCGUCAAACGGAUUAUUACUUUUGCUGCAGCUAACAUAAAGGGAGUUUGACCAUUUUGGCUGACUGAUGCAGGAUUUCACAAGGGUCGGUAAAACGAUUUUUGUAAAACUCGAUCUCAAAUCAAGUAAGACUACCCGCUGAACUUAAG